AAGCUGACGACGCCUCUGCCCCGCCUCUGCCCGAUGCCCUGCCGCGCCCAACCGACGCCGCCCCUCUGCCCGGAACGACGAGACGCGACGAACCCGACCGUUGCUGCCUCCGUCUGGAAAGCCACUGACCUGCGUCUGCAAAGCAAACGCCCCUGCCUCCGUGUCUCCCGCCUGCAAAGCCGACCACCGCAGCCGCCGUGCCCAACCCGUAGCCGCCGCCCCCUGCCAAAGCCGACGCCCGAAGUGACAAGGCGAGACCGACCGCUCCUGGCUCCCACUGCCUGUCCCCUGCACCUCCCUCUGCAAAGCCGGUAAAGCCGACGCCGCGCUAGCCUUCCCUCUGCCCCGCUGACACCGUGUCAUCCGCCGACCCCGUCUGUGCGCGCACGAGACGCCGAACGCGUCACGACAACCUCCGCGUCCGCCUCUCGCUCCUCCCUCGCCUAUAAAUCGAACCCUCGCGCCAGCUAACUCUCCACACCACUCUCAACCUCCACACCCAAAGCCGAAGACCAAAACCCUCUGAUUCGCCGGGAACGCCCGCGCCAUCGUCACGCCCCGCGUCGGCCGAACAGGGCGCGACCGCCAACCCGCACCCGUCAAGUCGCUGCCUCGGACCUCUUCGCCGGAGAUCUGCCGCCACCAUUGCCGUCGCCGACCGCCUAGGGAGCUAGUGGCCACGCCACCUCGGACCGCCUCCGCCCAAAUAGAGCACGGGAGGGCGAUUCGAUUGUUGCCGUUGGCGAAAGUGUGCAGGACCAAGAGUUAUUUGAGGAACCAACUAAGCAAGGCAAG